rnacentral:rRNA from 1 species
UACGUAGGAUCCAAGCGUUGUCCGGAUUUACUGGGUGUAAAGGGUGCGCAGGCGGACGUUAUAAGUCAGAGGUGAAAUCGUCACUGCUCAACAGUGAAACUGGCCUUGAUACUGUAGGUCUUGAAUUAGGGAGAGAGUUCGUGGAAUUCCGAGUGUAGCAGUGAAAUGUGAUAGAUAGUUCGGAAGAACACCAGAGGCGAAGGCAGCGAAUUGGCCCUAUAUUGACGCUCAGGCACGAAAGCAUGGGGAUCAAACAGG